AGCGAACGCUGGCGGCGUGCCUAACACAUGCAAGUCGAACGUGAAAAGGGAAACCUGAGUAAAGUGGCGUACGGGUGAGUAACGCGUAGGUAAUCUACCCCAGAAUCUGGAAUAACCUGCCGAAAGGCGGGCUAAUACUGGAUAGAGCGAGGGAACUCGUAAGAGAGUUUUUCGGGAAAGGGAGCCCGCAAGGGCCUUCGUUCUGGGAUGAGCCUGCGUCUCAUUAGCUAGUUGGUAAGGUAACGGCUUACCAAGGCGAUGAUGAGUAGCUGGUCUGAGAGGAUGAGCAGCCACACUGGAACUGAAACACGGUCCAGACGCCUACGGGAGGCAGCAGGGGGGAAGCUUGCGCAAUGGACGAAAGUCUGACGCUGCCACGCCGCGUGAGAGAAGAAGGCCGUCGGGUUGUAAAGCUCUGUCGGAUGGGACGAACAUCUUCAUAGUGAAUAGCUAUGAGGACUGACGGUACCAUCAAAGGAAGCACCGGCUAACUCCGUG
rnacentral:rRNA from 1 species